rnacentral:tRNA from 1 species
UCCCUAGUGGUCCAGUGGUUAAGAAUCUGCCUGCCAAGGCAGGGAAUUCAGGUUUGAUUCCUGAUCAGGGAA